GAUGAACGCUGGCGGCGUGCCUAAUACAUGCAAGUCGAGCGAACAGACGAGGAGCUUGCUCCUCUGACGUUAGCGGCGGACGGGUGAGUAACACGUGGAUAACCUACCUAUAAGACUGGGAUAACUUCGGGAAACCGGAGCUAAUACCGGAUAAUAUAUUGAACCGCAUGGUUCAAUAGUGAAAGACGGUUUUGCUGUCACUUAUAGAUGGAUCCGCGCCGCAUUAGCUAGUUGGUAAGGUAACGGCUUACCAAGGCGACGAUGCGUAGCCGACCUGAGAGGGUGAUCGCCCACACUGGAACUGAGACACGGUCCAGACUCCUACGGGAGGCAGCAGUAUGGAAUCUUCCUCAAUGGGCGAAAGCCUGACGGAGCAACGCAGCGUGAGUGAUGAAGGUCUUCGGAUCGUAAAACUCUGUUAUUAGGGAAGAACAAAUGUGUAAGUAACUAUGCACGUCUUGACGGUACCUAAUCAGAAAGCCACGGCUAACUACGUG
rnacentral:rRNA from 1 species